rnacentral:rRNA from 1 species
UACAGAGGUGCCAAGCGUUAGGCGGAAUCACUGGGCUUAAAGCGUGUGUAGGCGGAUCGUUAAGUGCUUUGUGAAAUCCCACAGCUCAACUGUGGAACUGCUUGGCAUACUGGCGAUCUUGAGCCAUCUAGGGGUUGCUGGAACAAACGGUGGAGCGGUGAAAUGCGUAGAUAUCGUUUGGAACGCCAAUGGUGAAAACAGGCAACUGGGGAUGUGCUGACGCUGAGACACGAAAGCCAGGGGAGCAAACGGG